AGAAAAAGGAAGAGUGACUUCUUAGACAAACAGUGUGUGAAGAGGGAGGAGAGAGAGAAAAAGCUGGAUUUGGACAAAUCAACUGAAAAAAAUAUUCUUAACAGCAUGGAGAGCGUGCAAUGCUGUCAAAAAUAGCAGAAGAUUACUAAUGACGAAAGUACUGAAAAGAAAUUCCUCAGGUGAAAUCCUCUUCAAAAGGGUGCUGCAACUUGGCCUCCUGCUGCCUAACAGCCUCAUGACAAAAUUCCUGAGGGUGGCAGGAUAA
rnacentral:lncRNA from 1 species